AACGAACGCUGGCGGCAGGCUUAACACAUGCAAGUCGAACGGUCGUAGCAAUACGUCAGUGGCAGACGGGUGAGUAACACGUGGGAACCUUCCUCGUUGUACGGAACAACUCAGGGAAACUUGAGCUAAUACCGUAUACGUCCGAGAGGAGAAAGAUUUAUCGCAAUGAGACGGGCCCGCGUCGGAUUAGGUAGUUGGUGGGGUAACGGCCUACCAAGCCGACGAUCCGUAGCUGAUCUGAGAGGAUGAUCAGCCACACUGGGACUGAGACACGGCCCAGACUCCUACGGGAGGCAGCAGUGUGGAAUCUUGGACAAUGGGCGCAAGCCUGAUCCAGCCAUGCCGCGUGAGUGAAGAAGGCCUUAGGGUUGUAAAGCUCUUUUACCAGGGACGAUAAUGACGGUACCUGGAGAAUAAGCCCCGGCAAACUUCGUGCCAGCCGCCGCCGUAAUAC
rnacentral:rRNA from 1 species